rnacentral:tRNA from 1 species
CCUGUAGUGCCAUGGAUAGCACGUUGGACUUCUAAUCCAAAGGUCGUGGGUUCGAAUCCCAACUGUGAGGA